ensembl:lncRNA
CCAGCCAAGGGUCCGGAGUCACUUACUUUCUGUUCAUCCAUCAGGUGGAUGGGCUGAACUCCACCUUCAACACAACACAAACCUCAUAUGUUCUAACAGGGUUGCACUGUGGAAUGAGUUUCAUCGUACAAGCAACUGCUCAGGACAGCACCUGCACCAGUCCGUACGGAAGCCCAACACAGAUCUACACAGCUCCCUGUCCACCCAGUAGCCUGACAGCUGCUGCUAGCUGUGGCACGAACAGGGUCACCAUCAGCUGGCUGAACGGCACAGGGGCGCACUCCUAUACUGCCAGUGUGGUGGGAAAUAAUGGACCAACUGUUUCUUGUACAUCCAACACCACUUCCUGUUCUGUAAAGGUUGAAUGUGGACAUACAUAUAUAGCCACUGUGGUUUCCACGGUUGGCCUCUGCAACAGCACCACCAACAACAGCAUCCAGUUUAAAUCAGGUAUCAAACUGCAAUUGCUUUUUAAGCAGACUUUUGUGCAAACUUGACAAAAUUGGUAAAAUAUUUUCCUCUUCGUUUCACCUCCACGUGUGUCACAGCGGAUUGCCUGCCUAGUAAUGUGAUAGCGCAGGUAGGCUGCAAUUCUGACAUGCUAGCUGUACACUGGGACACCAGUGCAAACAACGCUGACUCCUAUACAGCCCUGGCUAUUGGUACAGAUGGCACUCGGCUGUCCUGCAGCACAAGCUCUACUACCUGUACCAUUCAGAACUUAAGAUGUGGCCAGACCUAUAGCAUUGCCGUGACCACAUCCAACGUCAACUGUGGAGUCAUUGAGGGUUCAGACUACCAAAUUGAGACAGGUAAACUGACUAAAUUAAUUCUAAACCAACCCCAACCCCUUAAAAUGUAUUAAUGUAGCCAUUUAUCAUCUGUAUCCCAUCAGCCCCAUGUCAACCACAGAGCCCAGCUGUUCAACUGCAGUGCAGCACUAACAUUGCUACGGUAACAUGGGACAAUAAUGGAGCAGAUCAGUUUGACGUGGUGACUGCGCUCAACUUUACCGGUGGUGCGACAGUGUGUAAUAGCACAGAUAGGUCUUGCACGUUUGCACAGCUACGCUGUGGUGAGUCAUACUCACUCAGUGUAGUUGGAUUCAAUGGAAACUGCACCAGUGAACCUAGCGAGAGCUUCAAUCUUAAUACAGGUAAGACAAAUCUGCACACAGGUGAGGGAUACUUUGGCCUGAGACUGUUAUAGAUAAUAAAGACAAAGACUAAUAUAGCUGAUAGCUGUAU